GUCGGGAAUUUUGCUCAAUGGGGGAAACCCUGAAGCAGCAACGCCGCGUGAGGGAUGAAGGCCUUCGGGUUGUAAACCUCUUUUGUCAGGGACGAUGAUGACGGUACCUGGCGAAUAAGCCACGGCUAACUACGUGCCAGCAGCCGCGGUAAUACGUAGGUGGCAAGCGUUGUCCGGAUUUACUGGGCGUAAAGAGCGCGCAGGCGGUCUUGUAAGUCGAAUGUGAAAGCCCCUGGCUCAACCAGGGAGGGUCAUUCGAUACUGCUUGACUCGAAGGCAGGAGAGGGAAGUGGAAUUCCGGGUGUAGUGGUGAAAUGCGUAGAUAUCCGGAGGAACACCAGUGGCGAAGGCGACUUUCUGGCCUGUUCUUGACGCUGAGGCGCGAAAGCUAGGGGAGCAAACGGGAUUAGAAACCCCAGUAGUCC
rnacentral:rRNA from 1 species